ACCUUUACAGAUUCUGGACAUUGACUAAAUGUAGACCUUUACACCUUUAUAGAUUCUGGACAUUGACUAUAGGUGGACCUUUACAGAUUCUGGACAUUGACUAUAGGUGGACCUUUACAGAUUCUGGACAUUGACUAUAGGUGGACCUUUACAGAUUCUGGACAUUGACUAUAGGUAGACCUUUACAGAUUCUGGACAUUGACUAAAUGUAGACCUUUACACCUUUAUAGAUUCUGGACAUUGACUAUAGGUGGACCUUUACAGAUUCUGGACAUUGACUAUAGGUAGACCUUUACAGAUUCUGGACAUUGACUAAAGGUAGACCUUUACAGAUUCUGGACAUUGACUAUAGGUAGACCUUUACAGAUUCUGGACAUUGACUAUAGGUAGACCUUUACAGAUUCUGGACAUUGACUAAAGGUAGACCUUUACAGAUUCUGGACAUUGACUAUAGGUGGACGUUUACAGAUUCUGGACAUUGACUAUAGGUGGACCUUUACACCUUUACAGAUUCUGGACAUUGACUAACGGUAGACCUUUACACCUUUACAGAUUCUGGACAUUGACUAACGGUAGACCUUUACACCUUUACAGAUUCUGGACAUCGACUAACGGUAGACCUUUACACCUUUACAGAUUCUGGACAUCGACUAUAGGUGGACCUUUACACCUUUACAGAUUCUGGACAUUGACUAAAUGUAGACCUUUACACCUUUAUAGAUUCUGGACAUUGACUAUAGGUGGACCUUUACAGAUUCUGGACAUUGACUAUAGGUAGACCUUUACAGAUUCUGGACAUUGACUAAAGGUAGACCUUUACAGAUUCUGGACAUUGACUAAAGGUAGACCUUUACAGAUUCUGGACAUUGACUAUAGGUAGACCUUUACAGAUUCUGGACAUUGACUAAAGGUAGACCUUUACAGAUUCUGGACAUUGACUAUAGGUAGACCUUUACAGAUUCUGGACAUUGACUCCAGACAUUGACUAUAGGUAGUUAGUGAUGGAAACUCUCAGCAGACUAGGCUUAUUAAGUCUUUAAGCAUAUUUGAAACACAAAUAUUUUGUUGGAAACAAAUUCUUUUCAUUUGACUAAUUCCCCAUAUAUUCCACUUGUACAAUUAAGCACACAUUAUCUGCAAACGUUUUGAUUCUGCAGUAACAAUACAUGUACUUAUUCUUGGCAGUGUUCCUUAUUGUUGUCUGGAUUCCUACUGGAAUUGUUCAGGAUGUUAUACAUGGUGAUAGCUCCGUGAAUGGAGAGCACUCUCCUUAUGUUAAACUGUACUUCGGAUAAGAGAUACUUCGCCAAAUUUAGUUAUAAAGGAAAUAUAUUUUCACACAGGUACCAUAUACUAAAACAGUAACAAAGUGUACCUGGUAGUGUAACUAUACAGGGAUGGCAUUUAUACAUUCCUUAAAGGUGUUCAGUAGCAUUGUCACUCUAGCCUGUUAGUAGUGACUGGUGUCCUUUAAUUUUUAAAGAAUUUCUAUUUAUUGAGAAUCUGCUGUUAUGUAUAUGUAUAUAGAAGAAAACAGAAGUAUAAGCCUUGCUGAAUAAUAAGGCAACCUUGAGCUUUCUCAGGUUAUACCGAUAGUCUACAUUUGUACAAUGUAAUUCAGGCAGUCUAUAUGGUAUUGAACAUGUCAUAAUUGUAAACAAGCUGAAAAGACAGUACUGUUAGUCUGUAUAUUGUUGUAUUUGAUUCUAAGCAAGAGUAUGUACAGUUUUGUAUGUAUGUUUUUUUAUGUAAAUGGAUAGAAUACAGGGACAACUUGUGCCUUUCAGAAUAAAGAAGCAUUUUAUUGUUAAUGACAAGGGGAAUUUUUGUUGAUCUUGAUAUACAGUAUAUCGUUUUUUUUUAGCGUAUGCCAAAUUUCACGUUUUCUAUACAAAUUACUAUGUUUUAUUUUACUUAAUUUAGUGUAUUUCAUUUUUGGCGUCUAACACAGCUAGUAAGUUUCAUAUACAACACAAACAACAAAUACUAAGCAAUGAUAUUUAUUGACAAUUCCAAAUGUAUACAACAUGCAGUAUACAAUAUACAUAGUAUAAUAAACUGUGCGUACCGCGGCCACACACCGAUCUCGUCCGCAUACCACUGCUCGAACUGAUUUUUUUUAGAAAUCCUUUACGCAUUUAUUUACACUAUGGUCCAUUGGCUGGAUUUGGUCAGUGCAGUCUGGAUCGUUCGUCGUUCUGCUAACCCUGGGGCUUUGUUUGUCCUUCGUACGUAACAUAUCUAACAUAGCCAUGUUUACACUGUCAAAGCCAAGCUCGUUAUGAUUUCAAACAUACAAUGGACAAGGUAUGGUCAGCUGUGAACACAUAUUUAUUGAUGAUAACAAUUCAAUCGAGCCACGGUCAAUUGAGCAUACCUGUACGCAUUUACACACAUACAUAUACAUUGAUCGGUAGGAGAGCAAGGGAGAUAACACCUGUUGUAUAACAAUACCAAUUUUAAGCGCUGUUUUAUAAUUCGCGACGGAGUGUGGUCGCUAAAUUAGC